rnacentral:sRNA from 1 species
GCUGGGCAUGGUGGCACCUGCCUCUAGUCCCAGCUACUUGGGAGGCUGAGUUGGGAGGAUCCCUUGAGUCCAGGAGUUCUGGGCUGCAGUGUGCUAUGCUGAUCAGGUGUCCGCACUAAGUACGGCAUCAAUAUGGUGACCGCCCAGGAGCAGGGGACCACCAGGUUGCCUAAGGAGGGGUGAACUGGCCCAGGUCAGAAAUAUUGUAGGUGCUUUGAAUUCAGCAGAAUAAGCCAAUAUAGUCCAAUAGUCCAUAAUAAUAGUGGAUUAUCAGCA